CUCAGGUCUAGGACAGCAUCUGGGAGAGGAUAGGGGGAAGGACUCUGGCAUAGCUGGUCACAAACCAGCCCCAGGGCAACUGAGCAUUGAUUUGAUCAAUGGCUUUUUCCUCUUCCCUUGAAUUCCCCUAUGAUGGCCUUUUAAUUGGGUCCAUUUGUUCCAAGGCCGUGGGCUGAGCUGAGCAGACGCCAAAUGAUAUGCCUAUUAUUAAAUAGAUUAGGAAAUGGCCCUACAUCUUGGGCGGCCAGAAAAACCAGAGUGACUGAACAGUGUCCCUGAGGAGUAACACGUGUAUUGUGGAAUACUGGAUGUAUUGCAGAAUCCCUUCCAGGCACCUUGCCUUUCCUAUGCUGUCCCUGCGUCUACAGAAUCCUUCUGACUUCCUUGCUCACCUGAAAUGUGUCUCCUCCUCCAAGAUUCACUUCAAAUCCCCUCCUCGGUGAAGGAGCUGAAGGAGCGCGCUAAUCGCCACCCCUCCCUCAGCCUGCCUGAGCUACUGCCACAGAGAACUCACACAUCUGCCUGGCAAGAGAUCCAACCUGAAUUGGAGGGUCUGCCCUAGGGGACACUGUCCAAGUCAGGGUUGUCCAGGGAACAGGAUUACCCAAAGAACAUUUAAAUAACAAUCCCACUUCAGUAAAAAAAAAAAAAAAGAUGUCUCCAUUUCCUGAGCUGGAGUCAAAAAGGGUGGCUGGGAGGCAGCAGAGAAGAGGAGUGAGUGUAAAUUCCGUGUGAUGGAAAUGAGUGGCAAUUUAAAUUCGACUGGAGAAAAAGAAAACUUUCAUGUCAGUAUCAAACUCAGACCAUUUUUAAAAAUCGGUUUCUUCCAUUUUAGACAUUAUAUACUGGUUUCCUUUUGUGAAAUGAGGCUUUAGUUCUCUUCCUUCUCUCAUUCUCCCAUUGCAAUUUUUGAUUAAAUAUUCAGUGCUUCCAUUUUUAUGAUGUCAAAAAUGUUGCUCACAGUGACAUCUUAGGGCAUUCUAUGUUUAUAUUUUCUUUCUUGCAUAACUUUUUGUUUUUCCUGGAAUUAAUAACUGCCUCACUGUACAUUCCUAAGAAGGACAUAUUCUAAGGACAAAGAGAACUAACUCUAAAGAAAUCUGAAGCAGUCUUUGUAAUCAUAUUACAAGUACGGUUACCCCUGAACAUCAUGGGCUUGAACUGCAUGGGUCCACAUAUAUGCAGAUUUUCUUCUGCCUCUGCCACUCCGGAGAUAGCAAGACCAAUCCCCACCUUCCACCUUUUCCUCAGCCUACUCAAUAUGAAGAUGAGAGGGAUGAAGAACUUUAUGAUGAUCCACCUCCACUUAAUGAGCAGUAAAUAUAUUUUCUCUUCCUUAUGUUUUCUUAAUAACAUUUUCUUUUCUCUAGCUUAAUUUAUUAUAAGAAUACAGUAUAUGAUAUAUGCAACAUACAAAAUAUGUGUUAAUCAACUAUUUAUAUUUUCGGUAAGGCUUUGGUCAACAGUAGAAUAUUGGUAGUUAAGUUUUGGGGGAGUCAAAAGUUAUAUGUGGAUUUUCAACUGCGUGAGGGGUUGACAUCCCUAACCCCUGCACUGUUCAAGGGUCAACUUUAAUACUAUUGAUGGUGUUAGUUUGAAACUAUUACAUGUAGUAGGAUAUAAUGAAAAUCUAAUUAUGUUAAUGUCACUGGAAACCAACAUUUUCAACAUAAGAGAAAAGAGAUACGAAUAUAAAAUCAAAGAAGAAAAAACUACUAUCAGUAUAGUCUUGGAUUUGGAAACAUCUGUAUAAACUCAUGAUGCUUUUUUCUCUUUAAAAAGUAUUCUCUAUUUCUAACUUCUAAAAAGGCCUGGGAACAAUAACUAGCCCUGUGAUGCUGAGCACCUCUAGUACCCGCUUCAAAGGUUCUAAAUGUAUUUCCUAUUAAAAGGAACAAGGGCUUCUUGGAGAAAUGGCUGAUUCUGGGUUCGUGGCAGGAAAUGCAUAAGAUGGGUUCAGAAUAUUUUGUCAUACAAAAAGCAAGUUGUCAGCACUACUAACGUUGUGUUUAAAGGACAUAAAAACCAACUUGAGGACUGUGCUGCACAAAGAUGGGGUAUUUUAAGUAUCAAAAAGAAUAAUGCCUACGAUGGAUUGAAACAUACAAAUCUGAAACUUGUGUUUCAAUCUAUGAGUUUAUAAUGAUACUAAGAGCAAACAAACAAGCAAACGUGUAGGUCUGUUCUGUAGGUUGGUAGCUUAUCAAUGUAUUAUUCUGAAAGGCAGGUUAAAAGGAAAAGAAUCUGUCUUUCCUAUACAAACUGUAUUUCAGAGUAACUAAAUAGACACCGAGGAAAAUUCUUCUUUACUGAACUCCAGCCAAUAAAUGAAGAAGGUAUCACAGAAUUAAAUAUCAUCAUUUUGCAUGCCCUAAUCAAUUAAUGCCUGUAGGCCUGGGGUGUCCAAUGUGGCAGCCACUACCCACAAGUGCCUACUGAACAUUUGAAAUGUGGCUUAUCGGAAUUGAUAUGUGGUAUAAGUGUAAAAUACACACUAGAUUUUUGAAGACUUAAUACAGAAAAGAAAGAUUGUAAAAUAUCUUGGUUUUUAUAUAAUAUUUUUGAUAUAACAGAUUAAAUAAAAUAUAUUAUUUAAAUUAAUCUCAGUAUUUCUGAUUACUUUUUUAAUGUGCUUACUUUAACAUUAAAAAAUAUACCUAUAUGCUUUGCUUUCUAUUUCUACAGGCAAGUCUGAGCAGUAAUCAUCCCAAUGGUUGCUAGUCUGAUAACACCAGAACCCAAUGGCCAAUAUUAACAUCACAAAAAAGAGAGAGAACUAGACAUUAUGUCCUGCUUUAUGGGGUACAAAGAAG
rnacentral:lncRNA from 1 species